CUCCUUUGACGUUAGCGGCGGACGGGUGAGUAACACGUGGGUAACCUACCUAUAAGACUGGGAUAACUUCGGGAAACCGGAGCUAAUACCGGAUAAUAUUUCGAACCGCAUGGUUCGAUAGUGAAAGGUGGUUUUGCUAUCACUUAUAGAUGGACCCGCGCCGUAUUAGCUAGUUGGUAAGGUAACGGCUUACCAAGGCGACGAUACGUAGCCGACCUGAGAGGGUGAUCGGCCACACUGGAACUGAGACGACGGUCCAGACUCCGUACGGGAGGCAGCAGCU
rnacentral:rRNA from 1 species